rnacentral:tRNA from 1 species
CCGGUAGCUCAGUUGGUAGAGCAGCCGGCUGUUAACCGGCUGGUCGUAGGUUCGAAUCCUACUCUG